rnacentral:rRNA from 1 species
GACGAACGCUGGCGGCGGGCCUAAUACAUGCAAGUAGGACGCAGUUGCGAACGGGUGAGUAACGCGUAGGUAACUAGCUAUUAGAGGGGGAUAACUAUUGGAAACGAUAGCUAAUACCGCAUACUUGUAGAUGGACCUGCGUUGUAUUAGCUAGUAGGUAGGGUAAUGGCCUACCUAGGCAACGAUACAUAGACGACCGGAGAGGGUGAUCGGCCACACUGGGACUGAGACACGGCCCAGACUCCUACGGGAGGCAGCAGUAGGGAAUCUUCGGCAAUGGGGGAAACCUGACCGAGCAACGCCGCGGGAGUGGAGGAGGGUUUCGGAGCGUAAAGCUCUGUUGUUAAGGAAGCGGUACUUAACCAGAAAGGAACGGCUAACUCCGUGCCAGCAGCCGCGGUAAUAC